rnacentral:rRNA from 1 species
GACGAACGCUGGCGGCGUGCUUAACACAUGCAAGUCGAACGGAAAGGCCCUGCUUUUGUGGGGUGCUCGAGAGGCGAACGGGUGAGUAACACGUGAGUAACCUGCCCUUGACUUUGGGAUAACUUCAGGAAACUGGGGCUAAUACCGGAUAGGAGCUCCUGCUGCAUGGUGGGGGUUGGAAAGUUUCGGCGGUUGGGGAUGGACUCGCGGCUUAUCAGCUUGUUGGUGGGGGAGUGGCUUACCAAGGCUUUGACGGGUAGCCGGCAUGGGAGGGUGACCGGCCACAUGAGGACUGCGAUACGGACCAGACUCCUACGGGAGGCAGCGGGGGGGAGUAUGGCACAAUGGGCGGAAGCCUGAUGCAGCAACGCCGCGUGCGGGAUGACGGCCUUCGGGUUGUAAACCGCUGUCGCCUGUGACGAAGCGUGAGUGACGGUAAUGGGUAAAGAAGCACCGGCUAACUACGUG